rnacentral:ncRNA from 1 species
UAGAAAGUAAUAAUUCGUAUAACCCCAAUAAUAUGGUUUGGGGGUCUCUACCAGGUACCAAUAAUUCCUGAUUACGAAGAAGACAG